rnacentral:rRNA from 1 species
CCUACGGGUGGCUGCAGUGGGGAAUAUUGCACAAUGGGCGCAAGCCUGAUGCAGCGACGCCGCGUGAGCGAUGAAGGCCUUCGGGUCGUAAAGCUCUGUCCUAAGGGAAGAAUAAUGACGGUACCUUAGGAGGAAGCCCCGGCUAACUACGUGCCAGCAGCCGCGGUAAUACGUAGGGGGCGAGCGUUAUCCGGAAUCACUGGGCGUAAAGGGUGCGUAGGCGGCCCUGCAAGUCAGGAGUCAAAUCCGCAGGCUCAACCGAGGUCAGCUCUUGAAACUGUGGCGCUUGAGUGCAGGUGAGGAGGGCGUAAUUCCUGGUGUAGCGGUGAAAUGCGUAGAUAUUAGGCGGAACACCAGUGGCGAGUGCGGCUCUCUGGACUGCAACUGACGCUGAGGCACGAAAGCGUGGGGAGCGAACAGGAUGAGAUACCCUGGUAGUC